UACAGAGGGUGCAAGCGUUGUCCGGAAUUACUGGGCGUAAAGAGCUCGUAGGUGGUUUGUCGCGUUGUUCGUGAAAACUCACAGCUUAACUGUGGGCGUGCGGGCGAUACGGGCAGACUGGAGUACUGCAGGGGAGACUGGAAUUCCUGGUGUAGCGGUGGAAUGCGCAGAUAUCAGGAGGAACACCGGUGGCGAAGGCGGGUCUCUGGGCAGUAACUGACGCUGAGGAGCGAAAGCGUGGGGAGCGAACAGG
rnacentral:rRNA from 1 species